rnacentral:misc_RNA from 1 species
CAGAUCCACCUCUUAAGAGAAGUACAGCUUUCUCUAACAAUCUAGAUGCAGCAUAAAUAACAGCAGCACCUUGCAAUAUAAAAAGGGGCGAGAAAAGGACGGGAAGUGGCAUACUUUUAGCACCCGCAGGCGUUCCCUCUAAAUACAUGCAGAGUAGGAUUUGGAAAACAAUUAUGGGAAUUUUCAUGAUAUGGCCUCCAAUGUCUUGAAGGCCACACAUUCUGUCCUGAUGCUGAUCCUGCUCUGG